rnacentral:lncRNA from 1 species
UUCAUUUUAUCAUAUUUCACUAGACCUCCAGUUGAAGGGUUAAGAGUUGUUUGAGUUCCAUCACCAUCAGUGCCCCAUUCUAUGGGAUGCUCGGUUCUCAUAUGUCUACUGGGCGUCCCAGUCCCCCUUAAAUUUUCACCAGUCAAAUGUUUAAAAUCACCGUUAUAAAUUUUGCAUUUAACUUUAUCAAUACCCUCUAUUUUUUCAAAAAAAUUCUAAACCUUACUUCUUUUUCUAAGAUUAGUAGUCGGAGCCACAGGUGAUCUACUCCUAGUGCCACGACCAUCACCCCUUGUAGCAACUCCAACACUACCAGUUCCAGCACUAGAAGGUGUAGUUGCUAUCUCAUCUUCCGUUCAUAUUUCAUUAUCUUCUAUUCCAAAAUCUUCUUAUAAUUGUCAGAAUCUAUAUCUAUAUUAUCACUAGGCGAUGCUUCAGAAACAUGUGUAAAUGAUAAUGUGUUAUUACUAUUGCUACCAGAUGCUGAAGGACUACCUCUUUUUUUAUUUCCCCUACCAGUAACUCUUUUACACGCU